GACGAACGCUGGCGGCGUGCUUAACACAUGCAAGUCGAACGAUGAAGCCGCUUCGGUGGUGGAUUAGUGGCGAACGGGUGAGUAACACGUGGGCAAUCUGCCCUGCACUCUGGGACAAGCCCUGGAAACGGGGUCUAAUACCGGAUAUGACACGAGGGGGCAUCUUCUCGUGUGGAAAGCUCCGGCGGUGCAGGAUGAGCCCGCGGCCUAUCAGCUUGUUGGUGGGGUGAUGGCCUACCAAGGCGACGACGGGUAGCCGGCCUGAGAGGGCGACCGGCCACACUGGGACUGAGACACGGCCCAGACUCCUACGGGAGGCAGCAGUGGGGAAUAUUGCACAAUGGGCGCAAGCCUGAUGCAGCGACGCCGCGUGAGGGAUGACGGCCUUCGGGUUGUAAACCUCUUUCAGCAGGGAAGAAGCGCAAGUGACGGUACCUGCAGAAGAAGCACCGGCUAACUACGUGCCAGCCGCCGCCGUAA
rnacentral:rRNA from 1 species